rfam:Clostridium halophilum strain M1 genome assembly, contig: G325DRAFT_scaffold00001.1
UGCAGUGAUGCAAAAAUAGUAGAUGAACAGGUUAGUAUUGAGGAAGCUAUAACUAUAUUUGGUGCAGCAUUAAGUGGGGCCAAUAUAAUCCAUGACGUAG